AGGUCCUAAGGCAGCGUUUCUUAAUCUUUUCAUCCCUUAGUCUUCUCCGCCGUAGGCAAUGCUAGGGUUUCAGUCUAAUACGGCGCCGAUUGAUUGCUUUUACAGUUUCGAACGAUUCAUACUUCUUCUUCCUCCUGGUCCAGAAAUCAUUCAGUUACGGAUUCAUUGCUAUUAAAUUAUUUCUUAACUCCAUCGUCACGAUCUAUCUUCAAUGCCACAUAAACUCUUCGAAGGCGGUGGAGGUUCGACUAUAAAAAGUCUGGUAGAUGUUCUUCCACGGUUGAGGUUAGGUUAUUGUGUUUCUGGGAGGCGAGGAAUAUCAGGCGCGGUGAUGAACUGAUGUCUGCUCCUGCUUGAUUCAAAUGCGGCUCUUAUGCCAGCCACCGUUGCAGCUAGCUGGGUUCCAACCUUUGGUUCCCAUCUCAUGGUGGGGUCGAUGUAUUCUUAAUCGGUUUUGAAGUGGCUCGGUGUAAUCCAAACUUCAGGCUAACGGACUCUUCUUUGUUGAUCCGGUUCAGUGAUGCAACCUCCUUGAAGGUGUUGACUGAACCGAGUUCUCCGCUGCCUGAAGAAUGUUUCCGUUUUCGUAGUCGGAGUGCUUGCUCUAGCAAACACCAGCUCUCAACUCUCGGACAUCAUUGGGGAGAUCACGACGGUUAAGAUUUCCGUCAGUGACCCUCCGGGAGACAAAAAUCACUCGACGGCGACGCACAGACUCAGCCUUCACAUGUGUGCACUGCGACAAUACAUAUGUGGUUGGUGCUCUCCGGUAUGUAACACACUGUAUUAUGAAUGAUCAAGAGUGGAGAAAUGGAAGAAGAAUUAGAAGAGACGCUUGCGACAAAUGAAAAAUUGUGAGCAACAGGUGAUACAGUGAGUUUUGAUGAGAGAGGACAGAUGUCGAUCUCACAGAGCUAGACUUUCUGACUUGGCAUCCUAGGUGGCAUGCUUCAGGAGAGAGCAAACCAUACUUUAUAUAAUUAGAUUAGAUGUUUCACCAUCACACGGAUACUUAACGGACUUUAUCAACUUCCCUGCAUCCGUUGAUAAUGUGAGUGUUACUAUUGUUUUGCCAUGGCGCUUUCAUGUACUAUAAAUUAAUAAAGAUUAUUGGACAUGAUCAGGGAGACAACGUGAAAAAGGGGGACGACAUACCAGUUGACAACACGGUUCCUGCUGAGGUUGAAACCGGGGGUAGCAGUCCGCAGGCAGCACCGGAUGCAACAGCAGUCCCAAAUGGUAAAGAACCACAGGAGCCUUCAGCCAAAGCAGCUCGCUUAAUGAUUUGGCAAUAGAGUUACUUUAUCUCAAAAAAAUGUUUUUGCAUCAAUGUUGGUUUUUUUUUAAAUUAAGGAUGUUGUGUCUGCUUCUGGUUUUUAACUUCCUGAACAAUCUUUAUUUUCUGAAAUUCCUAUAAAAUUUCUGUUUGGUUCAAAGGUUUGUACGAUUAGUUUGAGUUUAUGCAAACCAUUAAUGUUUUCCUCAAA